CCAAGUCCUCAGCAAAACCCAUCCAGCCCAAGCUGGGCAAUAUUCCCAAGGCCUCAAUGAAGCCCAGCCAGCCCAAGGAGGGUGACAUCCCCAAGGCCCCAGAAGAAACCAUCCAAUCCAAGAAGGAGGACCUCCCCAAGUCCUCAGAAGAAGCCAUCCAGCCCCAAGAGGGUGACAUCCCCA
rnacentral:sRNA from 1 species